CUUCGCCUCGGCCCCGCGCUCGGUGUCGCGGCCUCUCGGGCCCGGAGACGACGUGCGCGAGAAGCGGCGGCCGGGGCGCCGCGCUGCGGACGGAGGUCCUUUCACCUUCCCUGUUUUAUAAAUGGCAAACCUUUCCUAAACAAGCUGUCCAUCCAACCGCCAAAACCACAGGACAAGAAUUUCUACUCAAGGGGGAAACAGCAAGAAAGAAAAAAAGGUCACCAUUCCUAGGUGCUGUAUUCCAGGGACCAUGACACCUCACCUUCCGGCUCCUGCAUCCUUCCUGCAGUAUCUAAGGGGACAGUGAGUUUAGAUGCCACUGAUACAAUCCCAACAUCACAAAAUGGAAGGAGUUUGGGUUCCAGAGUAACCAGCCUCGCAGGAGAGCUGCCAGACUUGCCUUGGACAGUGACACGAGGGAGAAACAAACGUAUAUGUGAGAUCGCUGAGGUCAUGUUACCGCGACUGAAGUAAGAUAAGGUAGUGUCCGGAGUAUGGGGUCUGGAGCUUGACUACCUGGAUUCAAAUCCCUGCUCAGUCAUCUCUUGGCUGUGUGACUCAAGAUGAGAAGAUACAUCGCUUCUGCUUCUAAGAGUCGGUGAUCCUCAUCCUUCUCUCUGCACCUGCCCUUGCCGUGUCCUUGGUCAGCACAGAGGAAGGACAACAGCACAUCUCCCUCACAUCGGAAGUGGCUCCACAAGUUGGCCUUCACUGCCAUCAACCCUAACAGAUGUGGUGCUCUAUCUCCACAGUCCUCCAGAGAGCCCUCAAGUCCCUCAGGGUGUCUUUACUCCAAGAAGGGGUUCUAGACUAGACAAGCAGAGGUGUUGCAGAAAGGAAGAUACUGCAAAGGAUUCAGGCAGCAAAGGGUGUGCUCCCCACACUGGGGAAGACAUCUGGGCAGAAGGGCCUGGGCUGGACCUCACAUCCAUCCCUCUUCCCUUGGGGUCCUUGACCACCCUUGAGAAUGGCACCUACAUGCUCUAAUUCUCCAUAAAAUCCAGAGGCAAAAUGUCCCUGCUGUAAAGACCUUGAACCCUUUUUGGGAAGGUUUUAUGAACUUAAUAUCGUGGGUUGCUCUAACCCCAGCCUUUGUCCUGACAGCAUCUGCUCAGGGAGUUUGAGAUUCAGCCAGUCUGUAAAGAGCUUCAGAUCCAGGGCUUUGAGGUGGGGAGAAGUGGUCACCUUGGAGAAAGCAGGACACUGUGGCCAGCUGGGGCAUUCUUUGCUAUAGAUUCCAAGAGACAAACUUGCUGAUCCCAGGUCAAGUCUGCCCCUGCUUCCCUGCAUCUAGAACCAUCUCUGGCUCCACCUCCCAUUAACACCCCAGAACAGAUUCCCUACCCACCUCCUCAAGAAGAACAUUGCCUCCGGGGAUUUUCUAAGAGUUUUUAGGAUAAGCAGCAGUUAGAAGCUAACAAUAAGUAAAAUUUCCAGAAAUCAAGAGAAACUUGCAAUGUUCCUUGACACUUUAAAUGAUGCACUUGAAACAAGAGGCUUGCAUUAGGAUCUAAAUUAGAGUUCUUGAGUGGCUUUUUGUAUUUUUUCUUUCACGUUAACCUGACUACAACUUUAUCUCCUCCAUUCACUUCCAAGAAGUCCUUAUAUAAUAAAGAGUUGAAGGCUGAAGCCCUUGCUUCCUCAAUAGGGGGCAGGCUCACCAGCUCCAUCUUGUCAGUUACCUCUUAAUGGUUGGUAGGAUGAGGGAAGCUUUCUCAAAAGACAGUUAAAAUAGUGCUUUAAGAAAUCCUCCGCCAAUAAAAAGUUGCUUCCA
rnacentral:lncRNA from 1 species